CCUACGGGAGGCAGCAGUGAGGAAUAUUGGUCAAUGGUCGCAAGGCUGAACCAGCCAAGCCGCGUGCAGGACGAAGGCGCUAAGGAUUGUAAACUUCUUUUGUGAAGGGAUAAAAUGGGGCUCGAGUGCCUGUCCGUAGGUACUUGAAGAAAAAGCAUCGGCUAACUCCGUGCCAGCAGCCGCGGUAAUACGGAGGGUGCGGGCGUUAUCCGGAUUUAUUGGGUUAAAAGGGUGCGUAGGCGGCUGGUUAAGUCGGCGGUAAAAGCCCGGGGCUCAACCCCGGCGAGCCGUUGAAACUGGCUGGCUUGAGUUGGCGAGAGGUAUGCGGAAUGCGCGGUGUAGCGGUGAAAUGCUUAGAUAUUGCGAAGAACUCCGAUUGCGAAGGCAGCAUACCGGAGGCGGACUGACGCUGAGGCACGAAAGCGUGGGUAUCGAACAGGAUUAGAUACCCCGGUAGUC
rnacentral:rRNA from 1 species